UGGGGAAUUUUCCGCAAUGGGCGAAAGCCUGACGGAGCAAUACCGCGUGAGGGAGGAAGGCUUUUGGGUUGUAAACCUCUUUUCUUAGGGAAGAAGUUCUGACGGUACCUAAGGAAUCAGCAUCGGCUAACUCCGUGCCAGCAGCCGCGGUAAUACGGAGGAUGCAAGCGUUAAUCGGAAUUACUGGGCGUAAAGCGAGUGUAGGCGGCGACGUAAGUCGGAUGUGAAAGCCCCGGGCUCAACCUGGGAAUUGCAUUCGAUACUGCGUGGCUCGAGUCUGACAGAGGGAUGUGGAAUUCCGGGUGUAGCGGUGAAAUGCGUAGAUAUCCGGAGGAACACCAGUGGCGAAGGCGGCAUCCUGGGUCAAGACUGACGCUGAGGCUCGAAAGCGUGGGGAGCAAACAGGAUUAGAUACCCCGGUAGUCC
rnacentral:rRNA from 1 species